rfam:Oryza glumipatula chromosome 2, whole genome shotgun sequence.
UAUAUGUACAGCUUUUCACUAUUUAUGUGUCCAACGUUUGAUCGUUUAUUUUAUUUGAAAUUUUUUAUGAUUAGUAUUUUUAUUGUUACUAGAUGAUAAAACAUGAAUAUUACUUUGUGUGACUAAUUUUUUAAACUUUUUAUUGUAAAUUUUUUAAAUAAGAUGAACGGUGAAACGUUGGACAAGGAUACCCACGGUUGUACUUAUU